rnacentral:rRNA from 1 species
UGACCGCUGGCGGCGUGCCUAAUACAUGCAAGUCGCGCGAACAGAUAAGGAGCUUGCUCCUUUGACGUUAGCGGCGGACGGGUGAGUAACACGUGGGUAACCUACCUAUAAGACUGGGAUAACUUCGGGAAACCGGAGCUAAUACCGGAUAACAUUUGGAACCGCAUGGUUCUAAAGUGAAAGAUGGUUUUGCUAUCACUUAUAGAUGGACCCGCGCCGUAUUAGCUAGUUGGUAAGGUAACGGCUUACCAAGGCGACGAUACGUAGCCGACCUGAGAGGGUGAUCGGCCACACUGGAACUGAGACACGGUCCAGACUCCUACGGGAGGCAGCAGUAGGGAAUCUUCCGCAAUGGGCGAAAGCCUGACGGAGCAACGCCGCGUGAGUGAUGAAGGGUUUCGGCUCGUAAAACUCUGUUAUUAGGGAAGAACAAAUGUGUAAGUAACUGUGCACGUCUUGACGGUACCUAAUCAGAAAGCCACGGCUAACUACGUG